rnacentral:lncRNA from 1 species
UUACUACAACCUCACCACUUAAUCAUAUCUCAUCCAUUAAGCUUUGCUAGGCUUGAUACCUUUGUAAAUAAGAUUGCUCGGUCCGUGUGGCUCGGAGAUUACUACAAAAACAGUUCCAGGUACAGGUUAAGCGAUACUUUGACGUGAGUGCGAUGAUUGUUCUAUUCAGAGUUCUUCUUUUUUUCAUCGAUCAUAGGAUGAUUUCCACGCCGGUAUCCUGGGAUAGCAAGGAUGAACUUGUUUUUGUUGUUUGAUUGUGUCCGUAGUCGGACCCAGCUCUUCUGACUAGUGACUAAAUGCAUGUUUGUAUUGAUAUGAUCAUUAUUAGCUUGUGAUGAGUGUAAGACAAUUCCAUAUACU